UCCCAGUUACCAUUGUAACCUUGGGAAUAUGGUUCAUUAACCAGAAAGCAUCAAGAGUCUCAGGAAAUAACAUUAAAUGCUAAUUGCACUCCUUCCAUGGUGCUUUGAUAUGUGAGGGAAGGCUAUUUGUAAAUAGCCAUCCACCUUGUCAUCAAUCAUCAGUGAAACGAUUGCAUAUUGGUGAAAAGGAAAUAAUGACAAAAUCUACUGCUCCACAAAGCCAUCACCACCUUGCCAAAAAUUAUUUGAGUUUCAGGGUUUUUCAGCAGGCAAACCACAUUUUUUGUGUACUAAAGGCAAAGAUUGAAAGCACUAGGCCUGAACAUCUCCCUCCUGCUCGAUUAGCCAAAACGUUCCCAGGACUCUCCCCAAACUGUUGGAAGUGUGGGGAGAUAGAUACUUACUAUCACGUAUGGUGGACCUGCCCUAAGCAAUCUACAAAAGAAACCUGAAGUCUCCUUCUACUCUUCAGAACUUCCUCAUGUGGUUGUAAGAAGCACCUCCCAGUCCGAUGUAUUUAAGAAGCAUAAACAGCUGCAGGAAAACUCAGAACUCCAGGAAGUUAGACAAAUCCUAACAACAUCAGAAGCUGGUUCUCAUAACAAGCAAUAGAUUCAUCAUUUUUGGUAUGGACGGCCCAUAUAUAUCUGCAUCAAGCAACCCAACUGCUUUUGUCUGUGGAAGGAAAAUGCACAUCUGUCAGGCCUCAUUAUACAUAUUCUUCAAAGAGGAAAAAUUGUGCACAUUAACCACAGCAACGUUUUAAUUAUAUUUUCUCGAACAGCUACUUAUUAAAGCAAGGCAUCUGAAAAUUCACCAAAAUUCCAGUAGCUUAACACAAUAAAGUGAUUCAUGCUCA